rnacentral:rRNA from 1 species
AGUGAACGCUGGCGGCGUGCCUAAUACAUGCAAGUCGCACGGAGUGGCGCACGGGUGAGUAAUAUAUAGCUAAUCUGCCUCUUGUGGGAGGACAACAGUUAGAAAUGACUGCUAAUACUCCAUAGCAAUGGAUGAGACUAUAUCGUAUCAGCUAGUCGGUGGGGUAACGUGCUACUGAGGCUAUGACUGGUAACUGGUCUGAGAGGAUGAUCACUGUAAUUGGAACGGAGACACGGUCAAAACUCCUACGAGAUGCAGCAGUAGUGAAUAGAUCGAAAUGGAGGAAACCCUGACGCAGCAAGGACGCGUGGGGGAUGACACUAUUAGGAGCGUAAACUCCUAUUGUUAGGGAAGCGGUACCUAACGAAUAAGCAACGGCUAACUCCGUGCCAGCAGCCGCGGUAAUUC